UACGGGGGGGGCAAGCGUUGUUCGGAAUUACUGGGCGUAAAGGGCUCGUAGGCGGCCAACUAAGUCGGCCGUGAAAUCCCCAGGCUCAACUUGGGAACUGCAUCCGAUACUGGAUGGCUUGAAUUCGGGAGAGGGAUGCAGAAUUCCAGGUGUAGCGGUGAAAUGCGUAGAUAUCUGGAGGAAUACCGGUGGCGAAGGCGGCAUCCUGGACCGACAUUGACGCUGAGGAGCGAAAGCCAGGGGAGCAAACGGG
rnacentral:rRNA from 1 species